rnacentral:rRNA from 1 species
AACGAACGCUGGCGGCAUGCCUAACACAUGCAAGUCGAACGAUCCCUUCGGGGAUAGUGGCGCACGGGUGCGUAACGCGUGGGAGUCUGCCCUUGGCUUCGGAAUAACAGUUAGAAAUGACUGCUAAUACCGGAUGAUGUCUUCGGACCAAAGAUUUAUCGGCCAGGGAUGAGCCCGCGUAGGAUUAGGUAGUUGGUGGGGUAAAGGCCUACCAAGCCGACGAUCCUUAGCUGGUCUGAGAGGAUGAUCAGCCACACUGGGACUGAGACACGGCCCAAAGUACUACGGGAGGCAGCAGUGAGGAAUAUUGGACGAUGGGCGCGAGCCUGAACCAGCAAUGCCGCGUGAGUGAUGAAGGCCUUAGGGUCGUAAAGCUCUUUUACCCGGCGUGAUAAAUAUAGUACCGAGAGAGUAAGCUCCGGCUAACUCCGUGCCAGCCGCCGCGGUAA